ensembl:lncRNA
UGCCGUCUGGUCUUCCCUGGCUUGCUCUGGUCCGUGUGUGUGUGUGUGUGUGUGUGUGUGUGUGUGUGUGUGUGCGCGCGCGCGCGUGUCCUCAUGGCCGCUCUGUCAUCACUACCUCAUGGUGAAUCCUACUGGUCUGGUCCAUCCACAUGACCUCUGCACCACCAACUCCUCUUCCUCCUCUUCUUCCUCCUCUUCCUCUUCCUCUUCCUCCCUAUUCUCCUCUACCUUCUCUCUCUCUCUCUCUCUCUCUCUCUCUCUCUCUCUCUGACUGGGACCACAAAUCUUGCCUAUUCUCUUUUGCCCAGCUAUUGGCUGAUCAGUACUUUAUUAACCAGUUAGAGUUGAUGGAAACUGCCACCAGAUCUCUGGGCACAGAAAACAGCAUCUGAAUACACAGUGCACAAAACCAUCCCCCAACAAGCUUCCUUCUUCCGUGUAUAGGCUUCUAGCAGGAAGUAUGGCCCAGAUUAAAGAUGUGUCUUCUCACCUCAAAAUCUGAAUCAAAGGCUUCCAGAAGAAGGGGUGCCCAGAUUGAAGUUCAUUCCAGAUGUGGUCCAGUUGAUAACCAAGAACAGCCAUCACACCAUCUAAUUCUGCCCCUGUAGUAGGCGGAAGUAUCAUUGGAGCUGUUGUCCUCAGCCCUGCUCUGCACACCAGUGUUCGUGAAAUGAGUGCCCUAUCACUGUCAAUGCUCUGAGCAUGUCUCUACACACCCUUGAGUUAGAUGAGACCUUUGAUGAUGAUCAUCAGCCUUGCCUGAUGUUUAUUUCCUGGAAAUACUUGCAAGAGGUGUGCAGCAGUCCACAGAUAUCACCGUUUGAGCUUCUGGCAACUUCUAACAUGGUCACCGAGGUCAUGGGGCACACCUAUUUAGCCUGAUCAAAACUUCUCAAGCCUUUCUGUCCCAGCUCCACAGGUGCCCUCCCCCCUUUAUCAAGUUACUAAAAGGAUGGGUAACCUGGGUGAAGUGGAAAAUAAAAUCAUAUCAAUGGCUUAGGAGCUCUGCAAAUGUCUGCACCUGUUUUACGGUCACAGGUAAUGGUGAUUUAUGAUUUUAACAACUUUGGUAUCAUACAUAUCUUACUAGGCUAUAACACUUUCACGAAUUUUAUAAUCCUGCCUCCCCUCCUGCACCUAAUUGGGACUGAUCUCCUAUCUCCUUUUUUAUUCCUUUUGUUGUUGUUUUGUUUUGUUUUGAGAUAGAGUCCAUUCAGCUCUGGCUGCCUGAAACUCAUUAUAUAGACCAAGAUGGCCUCAAACUCACAGAGACCCUCCACCUGCUUCUGCCUCCUGAGUGUUGGGAUUAAAGGUGUGCAUGGCCUCCAUAAUUUUUAAAAAGAUUUAUUUUAUGUGUAUGGAUGUUUUUACCUGUAUGUAUGUGCAUGAAAACCAUGUGUGUGCAGUGCCAGUGGAGAGCAGAACUAGAAUUAUAGAUCAUUGUGAGUAAUGUGGUAAUUACUCACAUGGUAAUGUGGGCUCCAGGAACUGCCAUGUGGGUUUGAGUCUGUUGAGCCAUUUCUUCAGCUCCAAACUGCUAGUUUUUUUUUAAUUUAUAUUUUAUUUUAUGUAUGUGAGUACACAGUUGCUGUCUUCAGACUCAACAGAAAAGGGCAUUGGAUCCCCAUUACAGAUGGUUAUGAGCCACCAG